rnacentral:lncRNA from 1 species
GUGCCUUCGAUGUGGUCUAGCAUUAUCUGCGUGAACAUCGUGAAAUGGUUUUUUGGUUGAUAGUAUAAGGACCUGUAAGAUUCUGUUGUGGGGGAAAAAAAUCCAUGCCAAUAGACCAAUUGUCUUCUAGGAAUAUGCUCCAUUCACUAGUAACUGAAAUUUGUAGCUGCAUCCUGCAGGGCGGCUUGAUCGUAUUCAAGAUGGGGAAGGACAAAGAAGCUACCAAGCUUAAGGAGGAGGAGAAGAAGUCCAAGGAUGAGGUCCAUCUCAAGAUCAAGAGCAAGGACAAGUCGACCGCCGAGGAGGACGACAAGAAGGAGAUUGAGAUAGAGAUUGAGGCCAAGUUUGUUGAGAAGGAAGAGGUCAAAGACUCUGGUGACAGUGCAGGGUCUGCAGGAGGAAAGGGUAAAGAGGGGAAGAAAGACAAAGAGAAGAAGAAGGAGAAGUCGGAGAAUCAUGAAGAUGACGAAGAUGAUGAGAAGGUGAUCAAGAAGAAGGACAAAAAGGAGAAAGACAAGAAAACGAAGGAAGAUGGCGAAGAUUCAGAAAAGGCAGACAAAGACAAGAAGGAUAAGAAGGCUAAAGAGAAGGAUGGAUCAAAGUCGAAGGAUUCAAGUGGCGAGAAACAAGAGAAAAUGAAAGAUGAGAAAAAGAAGGAAGGUGACAAAGAUGUAGGGGAGGAGGAGAAACACAAGAAGAGAGAAAACAAAGAUAAAGAUAAGAAGGAUAAAAAGGACAAAGAAAAGGAUGGAUCUGAACCAAAGGGUUCAAGUGAUGAAAAACAAGAGAAAGGUAAAGAUAAGAAAAAGAAAGACAAGAAGAGCGAAGAGAUGGAACAGAAGGAGGACCAUCUAGAGAAUAAGAAUGAU